AUUUGAACCAGACACCUUCUGAAUACAAAUCAGAAAUGUUACAGCCUGAUCCAGCUUGCUUGGAGAGUGAGCAGAGAUGUUGGCUCUGACGUACUUCUCUGUGUCCAAGGUGUAUGCUGGCAAAGAUACAUGAACCUGUUUAUCCACUUCCUGUGUUUCUGUGUCUGGCUGCAUUGUGUGUUAGCUUGGGCACUAUGGUCCUGGGAUCGACACAGCCUCUAACAGAAAUGAAUAUGAUGGA